GUCUUAUUGAAUAUAAUUUUAAGUCUAACCUGCCCACUGAAACAUUGAAUGGCCGCAGUAAUUUGACUGUGCAAAGGUAGCAUAAUCAUUAGUUUUUUAAUUAAAAGCUUGUAUGAAGGGUUGGACGAGGUAAAAUCUGUCUCUAUUUAAUUUAAAUUAGAAUUUAAUUUUUAAGUUAAAAAGCUUAAAUAAAUAUAAAAGACGAGAAGACCCUAUAGAUCUUUAUAUAAUUAAUAUUGAUUUUAAUAAAGAAUAUUUAAUUUAUUAAUAUAUAUUAUAUUUUAUUGGGGUAAUAGAAAGAUUAAUAAAAUUCUUUUUUUAUUUAUACAUAAAUUUAUGAAUAAAUGAUCCAAUUAUAUUGAUUAAAAGAUUAAGUUACCUUAGGGAUAACAGCGUAAUUUUUUCAGAGAGUUCAUAUCGAUGAAAAAGUUUGCGA
rnacentral:rRNA from 1 species